rnacentral:rRNA from 1 species
CUGGCUCAGAACGAACGCUGGCGGCGCGUUUUAAGCAUGCAAGUCGAACGGUAUGCAUGGUGCUUGCACUGUGCUGAGAGUGGCGAACUGGUGAGUAACACGUAGGUGAUCUACCUUGAGGCCUGGGAUAGCCUGUGGAAACACAGGGUAAGACCGGAUGAGCCCCUGUACUUGCGGGUAGAGGGGGAAAGGUGCUAUGGCACCGCCUUAAGAUGAGCCUGCGUCCCAUUAGUUAGUUGGUGGGGUAAAGGCCUACCAAGGCGACGAUGGGUAGCCGGCCUGAGAGGGUGAUCGGCCACACUGGGACUGAGACACGGCCCAGACUCCUACGGGAGGCAGCAGCUAAGAAUCUUCCGCAAUGGACGAAAGUCUGACGGAGCGACGCCGCGUGAACGAAGAAGGCCGGAAGGUUGUAAAGUUCUUUUGCGGGUGAAGAAUAAGGCGAGGAGGGAAUGCCUCGCUGAUGACGUUAGCCUGUGAAUAAGCCCCGGCUAAUUACGUGCCAGCAGCCGCGGUAGCACGUAAGGGGCGAGCGUUGUUCGGAAUUAUUGGGCGUAAAGGGCGUGUAGGCUGUUUUGUAAGCCUGGUGUGAAAGUGCACGGCUUAACUGUGUAUGUGCGCUGGGAACUGCAAGACUAGAGUCCGGAAGGGGGAGGUAGAAUUCCUGGUGUAGGGGUGAAAUCUGUAGAUAUCAGGAAGAGUACCGGUGGCGAAGGCGACCUCCUGGUCCUGGACUGACGCUGAGGCGCGAAAGCGUGGGGAGCGAACAGGAUUAGAUACCCUGGUAGUCCACGCUGUAAACUGAUGUCGCACUAGGGUGCUUGGGGCAAGAGCUUCAGUGCCGAAGCGAACGCGACUAAGUGCACCGCACUGGGG